CUGUAUUUAUUGUAUUUAUUUAUUAUACCAGGAAUUGAACCCAGGGUGCUUAACCACUGAGCAACAUCCUAAGCCUUUUCUUAUUUUUUAUUUUGAGAUGAGGUCUCAUCAAGUUGAUUAGGGCCUUGAUAAAUUGCUGACCCUGGCUUUGGACUUGGGAUUCUUCACCCUUACCUCCCAAGUCACUGGAUUACAGGUGUGCACAUCCACACUCAGCUAUAUUGCUCCAUCUUUGAGAAUUGAGGAACAAUGAGACAUUUGAGAAUAGUAGGGCAAGUCAUUCCCUUCAGCUCCAACUUCUCCAUAUGCAGAAUAACAUCAUUUGUCUUGCCUACAUAUAGAGUUUUAGAAAUCAAAUGAGAUGCUACAUGUGGAAUACUUUUAAUUUUUUUUCUUUUCUUUUUGAAGUGAAGGGAGCGAAUAACAAGUCUUGUUUUGAGACAGUAUUGAGAAAAAACAUGAUAGUAGAAAGGAUGCCAUACAAGAAGCUGAAUGACUCUAAUUUGGGCAUGUCGUUAUAGUUAUUUAACAUAGGAAAAUUGAGUUUGAUUUCUAUUCUUUCUUUUUAGAGGUAAUUUCUUUAAGGAAUAUAUCUGUGUUCUCUAACUACAGUAGAAUUAAGCUAGAAAUAAGAUUCAGAUAAUUGGGAAAUCCCCAGGUAUUUCAAAAUAAUCAUCAUAUUCUGAAAACUCAUAGGUCAAAGAAUAAGUCAUAAAGGAAUAAAAAAAAUAAAGAUGAAAACACAGCAUAUCAAUCUGAGAGAUACACCUAAAGGACUACUCUUAGGUGAAAUUUAUAGUGUUAAAUGCUCAUAUUAGAAAACAAAAGGUUUGAAGCGGUCAUCUAAGCUUUUACCUUAAGAAACUAAAAACUAAAGAACAAGUUAGACCCAGAAAAAGAAGAGGAAGGAACUGACAGAGAGUAAAGUCAAUGAAAUGGAAAACAGCAACAAAAAAUGUGGAUUUAAAAACAUUCAAUGAAGGGCUGGUGUUAUAGCUCAGUGGUAGAGCAUUUUCCAGUAUGAGGCACUGGAUUCGAUCCUCAGCACCACAUGAAAAUAAAUAAAUAAGGGGAUUAGAUUGUGGUUUAGUGGUAGAGUGCUCGCCUCACACAUGCUAGAUGCUGGGUUCGAUCCUCAGCACCACAUAAAAAUAAAUAAAAUAAAGAUAUUGUGUUCAUCUAUAACUAAAAAUUAUAUUUUAAAAAGGAGGAGUUUUUUAAAAAAAGAUAUGAAACCAAACUGGUUAUUUGAUACAGAGUAAAAUUGAUAAGCCUCUAAUCAGACUAAUAAGGAACAAAGAAACAGAAAACAGAAAUUCCUAUUACCAGAAAAGAAAGUGACACAUCACUACAGAUUCUAUAGAUAUUAAAAGGACAAUAAAGGGAUAUUAUCUUGUAAUGUAUUUGAUAACUAAGAUAAAUGGGCAGAUUCCAUCAAAGACACAAACUUCCCAGACUGGGGUGGUGCCUCAGUGGUAGAGCUCUUGCCUAGCAUGUGUGAGGCACUGAGUUCGAUUCUCAGCACCACAUAUAAAUAAAUAAAAUAAAGGUCCAUGUACAGCUAAAAAUUA
rnacentral:lncRNA from 1 species